UGACCCAAAAGGAUCACCCUUUUUUCUCUCCUGGAGCGACAAUGCAACGUAGGCCAAUUUGGUCAUUUAACUCAACGGCCAUGACAUUUAUUACAAUAGUUAUUACUUUUUAAUUCCUGAUGUUUGUUUGUGUUUUGAAAUAAAUGCAAGCCAGCUGUUUUUCUAAAAAUAAUAAUAAUUUAACUUUACUCUCUUUGCAACCGGACCAUUAUUUUCCUUUCUUUUGUUUUUCUAAAAAUAAUAAUAAUUUAACUUUACUCUCUUUGCAACCGGACCAUUAUUUUCCUUGCUUUCAAAGUCUUCCUUCCUUUCCUCAAUCAAUCAAAGUAUCGUUUAAUACAUCUUCCCCCCCCCCCCCCCUCAUUUUCACUUCACUUACCAAAAGAAGAAGAGAAACCCAACAAACAAGCUGAAGCAGAGAAGCUUUUGCACUUUAUUAAUGGCGGAUUCAGAUCCUCCCUUCACAAGGGCCAACAGCAUACACAGAAACAAUGAUAGUAAUAACUACGCGCUCUUUCUUGGUAAGUUGCUGUUUUUUGCUUUCUUACUCAUUGCAAUCCCAUUGUUCCCUUCCCAACCUCCAGAUUUCAUAAACCAAACAGUACUCAACAAGUUUUGGGAACUUCUUCAUCUUAUGUUCAUUGGCAUUGCUGUUUCUUAUGGCUUGUUCGGUCGUAGAUAUAUUGAUAAUGGUAAUCUUGAUGAUUCUCAAUCGCAUGCUUCUGGAAUGUUCCAUGUUUCGUCUAUAUUUGAAGAUGGUUUUGAUCAUUCCAUGCACUGUAGUGGACAGGGUAAAGCUGGAUGUUUUAAUGUUAAAAAUGGUAGCUUUGACAACCCUUACGAGGAAAAUGUUGUUCAAGCUUGGAGUUCAAAGUAUGUCCAAGGGGAACCCACGGUUGUGCUGGCUCAACCACAUUGUGGUGUCGAAAAGUAUGGUGAAUUGAUUUCGUUUAGAGAUGAUAAACCUUUGGGGUUGCCUGUUAGGAGUUUAAAAUCCAGGGCUAUGAGUCCUGAAUUUGGCAAUGGAUCGAGUGAUUCUUCGGGUCCGAGUGUGAUGGAUUCAUCGGAUGGUUCCGAUAAGAGUGAAAAUGGGAGCUUUAGUGAUUUGACUCGCGAAAAUUUGGAGGGGAAGUCGAACAAGAGUGGUGCUUUGGGUUCUCCGAUGCCUUGGCGUUGGAGAUCAGGAAGGGUGAGACAACGAUUUGACGGUGGUAGUGUCACACGCCCUUCUCAUUUCAGGCCUCUCUCAGUUGACGAAUCUCAAUUUCAAUCACUCAAAUCACGGUCUUUACACUCCCAACUCGCUUCCCAAUCACAUUCACCGAGUAGCUUGUCUCCCUCGCAUCCCAGUUCUUCAGAACCACCAAAAUCCAAAAUGAUUGAAUCCCUGAAGGAAAGGAAUCCCAGCCAGUCUUUUCCUCUGCCUUCACCAUUAAAAAGACGGAAGCCAGUAAUUGCAUCGCAUUCUCGGCAGUAUAGUGAUGGCUCCUUAUUGGGGACCCGCUCAAGGAAAUGCUUUGAGGAUGAAUGGGAGGAAUUCUGUGACAGCAAAAAGGAUGAUGGUUCAUCAACCAACAAAGAAAGGGUCUCAAGUUAUCCCUUGAAAUUUGAUGCAAAGCCUAUAGCUCCUCCAAGGCUUCCUCAAGAGGGAAGUCUGUUCGAACCUUUAGAGGCAGUGGCAUUACCAUAGUUGGGUCUGGGGAUGCCGGAGAGAAGCAGGAAAAUCAUACAAAGGGAUGUGAUGAAAUUGAAGAGGUUGAGGGUUACAAAGGUGGAAGUGACCCAAAAUUAGGAGAUUGUAAUCCCUCGGUUGUGUUCAACAGGCAGAAUCUUGGAGGUAAUGCUUACAUGCCAAACCCAACAUAUUCCAGAAACCGGAACCAAGAGUUUGCGGAGAAUUCCGAGUCGGAGAGAGAGGAUGAAGAUUUUGGAGAAAGGUCAGAUGAAGCAACCAUGUCCGGAGCUACGAGUGUAGCAGGAAGUGAUACUUAUGAGGUUGAUAGGAAGGCUGGUGAGUUUAUAGCCAAGUUCAGAGAGCAGAUUAGGCUUCAAAGAACAACAUCAAUUGAAACACUAAAAGGGUUCAACGUGAAUUUUUUAGAGUGAAAGUAUUUGGUGGCUGUAAAUUUCUAAUAGAAGAGUUAUAUCACUCGUCACUCUUAGGAAGUUGAGGAUUCUUCAUUCUCGUAGUCCUAGCGUGGUGACCUUAAUAUUUGUCAUUCUAUAAUGUCUUUCUUUAUAUGGUUGAAGAUAUGAUUUGUUAGUAUUAUUCUUUUUUGUUUGAGCAAGUUCAUGAAAAACCAUGUUCAAUUAAUUGUUACAAACAUGUGUUGGAUAAUUAAUUCAAAAGCUGGACAAAUUUAUUGA